rnacentral:rRNA from 1 species
GACGAACGCUGGCGGCGUGCUUAACACAUGCAAGUCGAACGGAAAGGCCCUGCUUUUGUGGGGUGCUCGAGUGGCGAACGGGUGAGUAACACGUGAGUAACCUGCCCUUGACUUUGGGAUAACUUCAGGAAACUGGGGCUAAUACCGGAUAGGAGCUCCUGCUGCAUGGUGGGGGUUGGAACGUUUCGGCGGUUGGGGAUGGACUCGCGGCUUAUCAGCUUGUUGGUGGGGUAGUGGCUUACCAAGGCUUUGACGGGUAGCCGGCCUGAGAGGGUGACCGGCCACAUUGGGACUGAGAUACGGCCCAGACUCCUACGGGAGGCAGCAGUGGGGAAUAUUGCACAAUGGGCGGAAGCCUGAUGCAGCAACGCCGCGUGCGGGAUGACGGCCUUCGGGUUGUAAACCGCUUUCGCCUGUGACGAAGCGUGAGUGACGGUAAUGGGUAAAGAGGCACCGGCUAACUACGUG